GGGGGUAUAGCUCAAUGGAAGAGUGCUUGUCUAGCACACAUGAGACCCUGGGUCUAAUUGCCAGCACUGCCC
rnacentral:tRNA from 1 species